CGGCUGGACCCGCGGGGCGAUCUCGCCUAUAUCGGGGCUGCGGUUGAUGACCGGUUCGUAAUAACGUUUCAGGACCCGGAGGGCAGUACUCCGGCGCCUCCACCACAAGCCCAUCGCGCCCCGGCACGUCGCUGCGGCAGGCGGUCUUUUGAUGGGGGCGAAAUAGGAUCGACUGGGCGGUAAAGGGAUCGCGAGUUCGCUUUCACUUCGGUGAGGGACGAUGCGGCUGUCGGUAAGGACUCGACCGGUUCGACGCAGGCAACCCCUGUUUCGAGCAUUUGGCCAAAACUCUAAAUGCCAACGAUAACGUUGUCAUGGAUGCCCGCCUCGCGGCGUAAGCAUCUUGCGGUAGGGUAACCGUCGAAACAGAACCCGGAGCU
rnacentral:tmRNA from 1 species